rnacentral:rRNA from 1 species
UACGGAGGAGGCAAGCGUUAUCCGGAAUUACUGGGCGUAAAGCGUGCGCAGGCGGUUUUGUAAGUCUGACGUGAAAUCCCCGGGCUCAACCUGGGAAUUGCAUUGGAGACUGCAAGGCUGGAGUCUGGCAGAGGGGGGUAGAAUUCCACGUGUAGCAGUGAAAUGCGUAGAGAUGUGGAGGAACACCGAUGGCGAAGGCAGCCCCCUGGGUCAAGACUGACGCUCAUGCACGAAAGCGUGGGGAGCAAAUAGG